AUGUGGCUAGAAGACCUGCUGAAGGGGAGAGGAUGUUCUCAGGAGAGGUGGAGGACAGAGCUUCAUAGAGGAGCCAGUGAAGGGCAGCUGCGUCAGCCUCUGGUGGCUCCAGUAGGACCCUCAUCAUUUAUGAUGCUUCAGUUAGAUGACACUGGAAGGGACCUUGGUGACCAGCCUUUCAGAUGUAUGUUCAUGUCUCUGACCUCGCACCUGCCCCAGUGUAGGCUCCAAACAGGUGUGCGAGGUGCCUCUGGAAGGCCCCAGGGCACUGUGGCCAGUGUUCACAUGGCACCAUAGAUAUUAUGUCCCUCUGCACCAAGCUGCAGAACAAGGAGCACGUGAUUGAGCCCCUGUGCAGGGCCAAGUUCAAGUUCCCUGGCCACCAGAAGAUUCACAUCUCAAAGAAGUGGGGCUUCACCGAGUUCAAUGCUGAUGACUUUGAAGACACGGUGGCUGAGAAGUGGCUCAUCCCAGAUGGCUGUGGGGUCAAGUACAUCCCCAGGUGUGGCCCUCUGGACAAGUGGCGGGCCCUACACUCAUGAGGGCUUCCACAGUGCUGCCCCCUCUUAAUACUCACCAGUAAAUCCUACUUCCU